GAUGAACGCUGGCGGCGUGCCUAAUACAUGCAAGUCGAGCGAACAGAUGAGGAGCUUGCUCCUCUGACGUUAGCGGCGGACGGGUGAGUAACACGUGGAUAACCUACCUAUAAGACUGGGAUAACUUCGGGAAACCGGAGCUAAUACCGGGUAAUAUAUUGAACCGCAUGGUUCAAUAGUGAAAGACGGUUUUGCUGUCACUUAUAGAUGGAUCCGCGCCGCAUUAGCUAGUUGGUAAGGUAACGGCUUGCCAAGGCAACGAUGCGUAGCCGACCUGAGAGGGUGAUCGGCCACACUGGAACUGAGACACGGUCCAGACUCCUACGGGAGGCAGCAGUAGGGAAUCUUCCGCAAAGGGCGAAAGCCUGACGGAGCAACGCCGCGUGAGUGAUGAAGGUCUUCGGAUCGUAAAACUCUGUUAUUAGGGAAGAACAAAUGUGUAAGUAACUAUGCACGUCUUGACGGUACCUAAUCAGAAAGCCACGGCUAACUACGUG
rnacentral:rRNA from 1 species